GAUUCUCUUGCCUUUUCCUUUGGUUUUGCCAUUUUUUCACUGUAAACCAGUUACUAGGUUACCAGUAACUAACUCAUGACCAUUGUGUGAUCAUCAAUUUCUGGUAAUUUGAAAUUUUGGGUACAAUUUUUGACCUAUUGUGCGUUUUUUAUUGUUAAUCAGUGACUUUCUUUUGAAAUUUCUAUAUUUUGCAAACAAAAUGGGAUCGCAAAAACCUAAAAGUGAAAUGACACCCGAGGAAUUAGCCAAAAAGGAGGAAGAAGAAUUUCAAACUGGCCCAUUGGUUAUUUUAACACAAGCUGUAAGGAACAAUACGCAGGUAUUGAUUAAUUGUCGUAACAAUAAAAAGCUACUUGGUCGUGUUAAGGCAUUUGAUCGGCAUCUCAACAUGGUUAUGGAGGAAGUGAAAGAAAUUUGGACUGAGUACCCCAAGUCAGGGAAAAAAAGUAAACCGGUGACAAAGGAUCGAUUUAUAAAUAAGAUGUUUCUUCGAGGUGAUUCUGUAAUAUUGGUCGUGAAAAAUCCACUUGCCUAGUAGAUUAUUUCACAUCUUUUGAUGAAAUUAAAGAUAAUAUUUAAAGGUUUAUAUCGUUUAAAGCGAACGAAGCGUAUUGUUGAUAUUUGUGAGAAGGUGAAUGAGGUGAUCGGGCAGAUUUCAUGGUGUAGCUUGUCAAUGAUGAAUAGGACUUGAUGUAAAAUUUCAAUUUUGGAGGCAAAGGUAACUGUUAACUCGGUAAACAGUUGUACAUGAAACGAUAGAUCUACAGCAAAGCUCUGUUAAUAAAAGAAAUGAAUUAUGCCUCCAGACAUUUUCCAUUCCAUUGCGAAGAAGAACCAUGCGAGAAAAUUCUGAAAAUGAUUCUCUAAUAUUAUAAUUACUGUUUAUAAUUUCAUCUUUACCAACAUCUGCAUCUCAGCAUUUAAUCAUAACAUUUGAAUUGAUCUAUUGAGCCUGAAACACUUGUUCGAUUCGUCAUGGCAAAUGUAAUUUAACUUCUAACUCUUAACUCGUUUUUCAAAUGCACAAAAAUAAGUUUUUUCGUGCAUUUUUUCUGCAUAUCAGAAUACCAAUAAAUCCAUACCAAAUCAAUUCAGAAUCUAACAAAUUAAGAAUGAAAAUUAAAUUAACAAUACACUGCUGACAUCUAUGUGGAGUAAAUGAAACAAUGUCAAAGGAUUUAAAAAUUUAAGUGAUCCACAGUUGAAUCUUAACUCUUAACGCGAAAAUCACCAAUUCUUCUUUAUUUUUUGUUUUAUAAUGUUGAUCAACGAACUUACCGAUGAUUGUUUACUCGCCAUUUUUGAUUAUGUUUAUAACCUGAAAGACUUAAUAAACUGCUACAAAGUAUUUGAAUAUUUUA